rnacentral:rRNA from 1 species
AUUGAACGCUGGCGGCAUGCCUUACACAUGCAAGUCGAACGGUAACAGAUCUUCGGAUGCUGACGAGUGGCGAACGGGUGAGUAAUACAUCGGAACGUGCCUAGUAGUGGGGGAUAACUACUCGAAAGAGUGGCUAAUACCGCAUGAGAUCUACGGAUGAAAGCAGGGGAUCGCAAGAACUUGUGCUACUAGAGCGGCCGAUGGCAGAUUAGGUAGUUGGUGGGAUAAAAGCUUACCAAGCCGACGAUCUGUAGCUGGUCUGAGAGGACGAUCAGCCACACUGGGACUGAGACACGGCCCAGACUCCUACGGGAGGCAGCAGUGGGGAAUUUUGGACAAUGGGCGCAAGCCUGAUCCAGCAAUGCCGCGUGCAGGAUGAAGGCCUUCGGGUUGUAAACUGCUUUUGUACGGAACGAAAAGCCCUGGGUUAAUACCCUGGGGUCAUGACGGUACCGUAAGAAUAAGCACCGGCUAACUACGUGCCAGCCGCCGCCGUAAGAC